rnacentral:rRNA from 1 species
GACGAACGCUGGCGGCGUGCCUAAUACAUGCAAGUAGAACGCAGUUGCGAACGGGUGAGUAACGCGUAGGUAACUGCCUCAUAGCGGGGGAUAACUAUUGGAAACGAUAGCUAAUACCGCAUACUGUGAGAUGGACCUGCGUUGUAUUAGCUAGUUGGUGAGGUAAAGGCUCACCAAGGCGACGAUACAUAGCCGACCUGAGAGGGGGAGCGGGCACACGGGGACGGGGAAACGGCCCAGAAUCCUACGGGAGGGAGGAGUAGGGGAUGUUCGGGAAAGGACGGAAGUCGGAACGAGCAACGCCGCGGGAGUGAGGAAGGUUUGCGGAACGAAAAGCUCUGUUGGUAGAGGAGCGGUAACUAACCAGAAAGGGACGGCUAACUACGUGCCAGCCGCCGCGGUAAUAC